GUUCGGUACAUGAAGCCAGGCAUGCUCAAUCCAACACCACACGGUCGAUCAAAUGACUGCAUAUCGACCACAAGGCGGCAAUGUGGCACACUAAUACAUCUUCCCAACCGACAUUUACUUGCAACAGUUUUAAGUUACUGUUUUAAGGUGCUGAACCCCAGCUGCUCUGCUGAAGCAGAAGGCAGUGGCUGUACCUGAGCGCACAGGUGCAAAGAUGUCUGAAACUUGCCUAAAGCUUGAGAAGAAACGGCUUAAUGUGUCACAGAACCAUUCUCGUGCUGCCUGGUUUGAUGGGUCCAUCCAAGAUCAGCUAAGAGAGGGGAAAGAUGCAAUAACUGAUUCCCCUCUGUCACAUUUUGAGCCUCAUUCACAUGGAUAUCACCGUCAACAUCAUUGUGAGACCACAGUGACUCAUCAAGCAAGCACCUUCUCCAGUCGUCAUCAUGGAACCUCAUUUUGACUGCCUUGUCAUUUCUAUGUUGUUGCACAAAAGUCUCUUCUUUCAUUAAAAUGUCUGAAA